rnacentral:rRNA from 1 species
GAUGAACGCUAGCGGCAGGCUUAAUACAUGCAAGUCGAGGGGCAGCAUGACUGUAGCAAUACAGUUGAUGGCGACCGGCAAACGGGUGCGGAACACGUACAGAACCUUCCUUCGAGCGGGGAAUAGCCCAGAGAAAUUUGGAUUAAUACCCCAUAGUACAACGGAGUGGCAUCACUUUGUUGUUAAAGAUUUAUCACUUGAAGAUGGCUGUGCGGCUGAUUAGGUAGUUGGCGGGGUAACGGCCCACCAAGCCUGCGAUCAGUAACUGGUGUGAGAGCACGACCAGUCACACGGGCACUGAGACACGGGCCCGACUCCUACGGGAGGCAGCAGUAAGGAAUAUUGGUCAAUGGACGAAAGUCUGAACCAGCCAUGCCGCGUGGAGGAUGAAGGUCCUCUGGAUUGUAAACUUCUUUUAUAUGGGACGAAAAAGGGUUUUCUAACUCGUCUGACGGUACCAUAUGAAUAAGCACCGGCUAACUCCGUGCCAGCAGCCG